UACGUAGGGUGCAAGCGUUGUCCGGAAUUAUUGGGCGUAAAGAGCUCGUAGGCGGUUUGUCGCGUCGAAUGUGAAAACCCGGGGCUCAACCCCGGGCCUGCAUUCGAUACGGGCAGACUAGAGUUCGGUAGGGGAGUCUGGAAUUCCUGGUGUAGCGGUGAAAUGCGCAGAUAUCGGGAGGAACACCAAUGGCGAAGGCAGCUCGCUGGGACGUUACUGACGCUGAGACGCGAAAGCGUGGGGAGCAAACAGG
rnacentral:rRNA from 1 species